rnacentral:rRNA from 1 species
GACGAACGCUGGCGGCAUGCUUAACACAUGCAAGUCGAACGGAACCGUCCUGCCUAUGUGGGCUGCUCGAGUUGCGACCGGGUGAGUAACCCGUAAGUAACCUGCCCUUGCCUGUGGGAUGACUUAAGGCAACUGGGGCUCAUCCCGGAAAGGAGCUACUGCUGCUGGGUGGGGGCGGGAAAGUUUCGGCGGUUGGGGGUGGACUAGCGGCUUAUCAGCUUGUUGGUGGGGUAGUGGCUUAGCAUGGCCUUGACAGGUGGCCGGCCUGGGAGGGUCACCGGCCACAUUGGGACUGGAAUACGGCCCAGACUCCUACGGUAGGCAGCGGUGGAGAAGAGUGCACAAUGGGCGGAGGCCUGAUGCAGCAACGCAGCGUGGGGGAUGACGGCCAGCGGGUUGGAAUCCGAUGUCGCUUUAGACGAGGCGAGAAUGACGGUAAUGGGUGAAGAAGCACCGGCUAACUACGUG